AUUGAACGCUGGCGGCAUGCCUUACACAUGCAAGUCGAACGGUAACAGGUCUUCGGAUGCUGACGAGUGGCGAACGGGUGAGUAAUACAUCGGAACGUGCCCGCGAGUGGGGGAUAACGAGGCGAAAGCUUUGCUAAUACCGCAUACGACCCCCGGAUGAAAGCAGGGGACCGCAAGGCCGUGCGCUCACGGAGCGGCCGAUGGCAGAUUGGGUAGUUGGUGGGAUAAAAGCUUACCAAGCCGACGAUCUGUAGCUGGUCCGAGAGGACGACCAGCCACACUGGGACUGAGACACGGCCCAGACUCCUACGGGAGGCAGCAGUGGGGAAUUUUGGACAAUGGGCGCAAGCCUGAUCCAGCCAUGCCGCGUGCAGGAUGAAGGCCUUCGGGUUGUAAACUGCUUUUGUACGGAACGAAAAGACUCCUUCUAAUAAAGGGGGUCCAUGACGGUACCGUAAGAAUAAGCACCGGCUAACUACGUGCCAGCCGCCGCCGUAAUAC
rnacentral:rRNA from 1 species